GAAGAACGGAAAUAUCUGGAAAAUAUUAGAGAAGAACUAAUUAAAAAAGUUGAAAAGCUGUUUGAACAAAGUAAAUCAAAACGAUAUCAUGCCUGUGAUAGCUGGAAGAAAAAAUAUUUUGACACUAAGAAAGUCACAGCAUCAUUGGAGGAAGUCUUAACAAAACUUCGAGAAGAUUUGGAACUUUACUAUAAAAAACUGCUCAUGCAGCUUGAAGCCAGGGAGAUCAAGAUGCGACCAAGGAAUCUGGCAAACAUCUCAGAUUCUAAGAAUUAUCUUAUAAUCCAGAUCACCGAAGUACAACAUGCUAUUGACCAACUUAAGAGAAAGUUGGAUACUGAUAAAAUGAAACUCAUAUUAGAAGUUAAGAUGAGGAAACAAGCAGCUUCGGAUUUACAGACAUUAAGAGCUGAUCUGACACAGAAGAAAAUGGGUACACCUUUCCGAUCUCCAAUAUGUAUGUUCAUUUAUCUCUUGAAAUUUUAAAUACUUAAUUGAACAAAAUUUAAAAUAGAUUUAAUUUUUAUUUUUUGUGCAUGUAGUGCAAAUUAUAGCAUAAAUCUAUAUAGUAGCUGUUUAUUUUAAAGAUUUUGAGUCUAUUACCUAUUUUGUAGUACUAUAUUUUAUAAUUGCUUAUUAUUUAAUAAACUUAAAUUAUAGGCCAAUAUAA
rnacentral:lncRNA from 1 species